GGAUGUGAGGGCGAUCUGGCUGCGACAUCUGUCACCCCAUUGAUCGCCAGGGUUGAUUCGGUUGAUCUGGCUGGCUAGGCAGGUGUCCCCUUCCUCCCUCACCGCUCAGUGUGUGUCCCUCCCGAAGCGAAGAGGAUGGCCUUCCUCGAAUAGAGACAGACCGGUCUUCGGUCAAGGGUAUACGAGUAGCUGCACUCCCCUGCUAGAACCUCCAAACAAGCUCUCAAAAACAGUGAUGACAAGUCUCACAAUGAAGACGUUACUGGUGCCCGCUCGAGCAAAUUGAUGAACAACGGCAUGACAGUGCUACAGUGGUACAGUUUUUGU
rnacentral:snRNA from 1 species